rnacentral:rRNA from 1 species
AUGGCACUGGCGCCACGGUCACUGGCCAUCACGGUGUUCACCUGCAGGUCCGUCGCCAACAUUCUGCAGGUGGCGAGUCUGACCUACGUCUUGAUGGCAGAAGAACUGGGCUUCUCCGUCUUCAUAUUCCUCAAGCUUGUGUUGGCGGCGGAGCUGAUCUUGAACUCGGCGCGGCUGCUCUACGAUGGCACGCAGGCCUUCUUACACCAGCCACUGCCGGCCGAACGUUGGAUGAUGUCGGCGCUUGUGGCCGUAGGUUUGGUCAUGCUGCACGCCCUCUUCGCUGCUGGGGGGAGCUCCCUGGGGGUGGUAGACUACGUGGACAAGACCAUGAGGCAGUGCGCACUGCUACCUUCCCAUGCUUGCGAUCGGUUCUGGGCAUCGGGCAUACUCACCGUGCUGGCAUCGGCUUUCACCGUGCCGGUCAUCAUCACCAUGUUCCGUCUGCAUGCGAUCUAG